GUGCCCUAUCUGAGCAUCCUCAGAAAAUGCUCCUGGCCUCCCCAGGCUAUGAAGGCAGGGAAGGGCCUAGAGGGCAAGAUGUAUGCAGGCCGGCUGAUUUCCCUUGGUUUGCUCAGCGCAGAGCAGAGGAGCUGAGGGGAGGCCUGAUGGCGGCUGCAGCUCCUCACAGGGAGCGGAGGGCAGCGCUGAGCUCUGCUCUGUGUGACAACGACAGGUAGGUGGGAUUUUAAAACUACCCGUUUGUUGCAUGCAGGUAACAACUGUUAUUUCUUACCUGACAGGACCGAAAUUCAAAAGUAUUCUUUCUUCUGGGGAAAAAAAAAAAAAAGGUAACUUUCUGUGCUUCGUGUUUGAUAACUGUCAGUGCCUCUACUUCCUGAUUUAGUUUAGCAAAGUCAUCAACAGCUGUCUGAGAAACGUAGAAGGCUGGGCUUGCACUUAGGCAGCAUUUGAAGGCAGGGACUGGAGUGCCUGAGGAACAAUGUGAGGGAGCACUUGAGUGAGAAAGAUGUGUGUGCAGAAUCACAGCAGAAAGGUAACAGAUGCUUUUAAAGUGAUUUGUGUGCAGUGAUCGCUUCAGCUGUAUGCUGUUAGGUCUUGACCUAGCAAAGGAGUGAGUGUCUGGAGCCAGAUGACACAAUAAAAUCCUAAUAAAAUCUCUUUAUAGUACUGAAAAGUUUGGCUUUUUGACUUGUAAAAUGUGUGUUGUAAGACUUUUUAUUGAUACUCAGCACCCUUUGCUACCAGAAUGGAAAGGGGAGAGAGAAGUGCUGUUAAAGAGAGCUUGAACUGCAAACACCUCUUGCAUGUGAGCUUGGCUGUUGUUUCAGUGGCACAACAGAAACACAGUCCAUCACAUGAGUGCACAGAGACGCUCAUGGCUCAGGAUACCCCAACAGUCCCACAGCAACAGACUCAUGCGGGGGCCACGGUCCCGUAACCAGAAGAUCCUGAAGCUGCAAAUGUGCAUGGCCCGGCCACAACCCCAACCACUGCACGGCCCAUGGAGGAGCACAUCUGUGUCUCGCUGCCUCUGCUACCACCAGGAGGUACACAUCUGUACAAAUGCAGAUUGAUUUUGCUGUAAUGUCUUCUAGCUAUUGUAAACAUCCUGGAGAAGUGACCGUGUUCUAUCUGUGGGGCCUUUUCAAUGGCAGACUUGAAAAUGUCAGGAAAGCAUGGGUAUUAUCUGUCUGAAACUUCUGAUGGGAUUUCAUGUCCUUUUGGUAUCGCUUACAGAAACACUGAGCUGUGCCUUAAGAUGCUUAGAGAAAAGAAGGUUCUAGGGAGACCUCACUGCGGUCUUCCAGUACUUGAAGGGAGCCUGUAAGU
rnacentral:lncRNA from 1 species